ensembl:lncRNA
GUGUUUUUCCACUUGCCUAGUCUUGCGUCAUAUAGGGUGAUGAGUCAUCCACCUAUCCCAGCUGUACAAGCACUGCUCGGAGCUUAUGAGCCUUUAUAAGGGGAUGGGAUUCUUGGCUCGGGGUCUCCCUAAUCAGAAGCUGAUCAUCUGUCUCUUAAGAUGCAUUAAAGCUUUACUGCAGAAGGAUCCAAGUGUCCUGUGUCGUUCUUGCUGGCGAGACGAUCGCGCGGGACAUCUGGUGCCGAAACCCGGGAACUUGUUGACAUUGCCGGCGCUUUGGGAGACCCCUCGGAGGAUGGGGCGGAUUCAGAACUGCAGGGAGAUACAACUUGGCUUUGAAGCUCCAAACCCUUCAGAGAAAACCCUGCCCAAAAGGCAAGGUGUCUGAUCUCGUGCAUAACAGCCCUGAAGGAACGAUGUGAAUCACAAACACUAAGCAGCUGGAUACACAAUGGCCUGGCAAGCUUGGGAUGCCUCAGAGACCAGACCUCAGGGAAACUGCUAAUGGAAAUAGAGGAUCCGGGAUCCUGCAGCAGACCUGAGACAUCAGGCUGCUGCUCUACGUCUUUCCUUUUUCUGCUUUGGAAUGGAACUGAGAGAAGGGGCCUUUCAGCCAGCCAGGAACGUCAAAUGGCUAAAUGAGACUGACUUAGCAGCCAACAAGCCACAAAGAGAAACGUGCAUGGUCUGAUGGAGCUGUGACAGAAGGCCACAUGAUAGAAAUUUAGUAGUCACAAAAAUAAAAGAGCAAAAGUAAACCCCAUAGGCAUAGUUAUAUCAAUGCCCUAGUCUAAGAUGGCCACACCUUAGCGCUAACUCCCCCAGAACCUUUACAGUAGCUGCCAUAAUGAGAGUCCAGGCUGUCCACCAGAAUCCAGCAAUCUAGUCAAGUCUCCACUGUGACUCAGGAAUCUCCAUGUUAGCAAGCAUGAAGAACAUCCUACAUAAAUUACAAAAAAAGACUAGGGACUCAGCUCAGUGGGUGGAAUGUUGGCUCAGCCUGCACAGGGCCCUGGGUUCAAUCCCCAGAACCACAUAGCAUCUAGCAUGGCAGUGCAUAGCUACAGUCCCCCAUACAUGGGAGGUGGAGGCAGGAUGAUCAGGAGGGAGUUUAAGGUUGUCCUCAGCAAUGUACAGAGUUCAAAGGCAAGCCGUGGUUAUAGCAGACCCUGUCUCAAAUUAAUAAAUAUUCAAAAGAAUACACUUUGAGAAAUACUGGAUUAUACUGUAGUACAAAUUAUGCCCAAAUGAUAGUGGAUAUUUCAACUUAGCAUUUAAAUGAAAUAAUUACUGACUAGUGAAGGUUUCUCAUUUUAAUACAUAGAUCAAAUUUCUACCAUUGGGGAAAACAAAUGGAAAACUAGGCUAAAUAGGAUUCCAUGUCCCCCACACAUGAGAAGAACAGUCUAUACAAGCAACUUACUCUGAGGCACUCAACCUUGGCCACAUAUUCCAUCAACUGGGGCACUUUAAAAAAAUACCCAUGUCUGGGCUCUACCACAAACCAAUUAAACUCAAACAUCCAGAGGGGGAACCCUGGUAUCAGCAAUUUUUAAAAGCUCACCAAGCAAUUCUUAUGUGCAGUCAAGGUCAAAACCCAACAGCUCUAAUGAAAACUGAAGGGCUGAUCUUGAGAAACCAAACCUGGGAAUCAAAGGCAAAUAUCGCUGUCCACUCACACAUGGCACUCAGGCUGGAUGUAACAAGCAAUUAGGCAUCUGUCACAAAAGCAAGAAUUUAACAAAGCACCAGGAAAGCUAGCUCCUUUGGGGUCUGCAAACACAAAAUCUGCACCUAGGCCCUCCUUCCAAAGCCGUCCCAGAGAGACAUGGCAGCAAUGUCCCAUUCCAUUCUCAGUCAAAUACUGGCUAAAGCAGAAAAUUAGCUUUGUCGUCAUCAUCGAUUAGGCAGUAUUUUUCAAAGCCUCCAUUCCUCAGGAAAGGGGUCCUACUCAACAGAUUAACAGAUGAUUUUAGUGAUUAGCUAGUGGUUUCCAUCAGGUUAGCAAAAUGCUUUAUAGAUGCUGUGCAGCCAGGCAUGAGCUGCAGCUCUGACAAAGGCAACCUCUUCAUGCCUCUCCCCGACUGGUGCUUGACAGCCUCAAGACCGGAAAGGCAGGAUGAGGAACCACAGACCCUGGAUCAUUGUCUUCAUUGCCUGUCUGCUUCCACUUACAUUCCAGUUGGACUUAACAACAUUCAGUUCUCAUUUUAUUUU